AUGAAAAAAGUUGGUGUGUAUUCUUUCCCAUUUUAAAACUAACAGUGAUGUACACAAAGGAAUAAUAGCUACUUGUAGUUGUUACUAGGUACUUAUUUCCAAGGCACUUUAUAACUAUACCUUUGGGCAAAUUAUUUAAUCCUCUCUUUCUUAGUCCCCUGUCUGCAAAUGGGGAUUGUAAUUAUUCCUACUUCAGAGGGUGUUGUGAGAUAAUUUAUGAAAAUCAUGUGGAAGAGUGAACAGCCUGGUACAUAGUGCUCAGUAAUGUAUCUAUUUUUAGCACCAUCACCAAUUUAUUUUCAUCUUCACC